rnacentral:rRNA from 1 species
GGCCGCGGUACCUUAACCGUGCUAAGGUAGCAUAAUCAUUUGCCUUUUAAAUGAAGGCUAGAAUGAAAGUACUGACGGGGGGCCGCUGACUCGGCCCUGUCACUUUAACUUGACCACGGGGUAAAAAUGCCCCGACGUUCUAGAAGGACGACAAGACCCUAUAAAACUUUACUACUUCGGGGUAACUCCCUCAGACCAACUUAGAACCUGGAUGUAGUUUAGCUGGGGCGGCCAACCCCCUCCGGGACCGUACCCUAACACCGUGCGUGACCUCUCGAACAUUUUUUAAUAGAAAGACCAAGUUACUUUAGGGAUAACAGCGCAAUAGUUCCGAAGAGCCCUUAUCGAUGGAGCUGAUUGCGACCUCGAUGUUGAAUUGGAGCCCCACUCGGAGCAGCCCCCGAGUAAAGGAGGUCUGUUCGACCUUUAAUCCUCCACGUGAUCUGA